UAGGGAAUCUUCCGCAAUGGACGCAAGUCUGACGGAGCAACGCCGCGUGAGUGAAGAAGUAUUUCGGUUCGUAAAACUCUGUUGUUAGAGAAGAACAGCGCAUAGAGUAACUGUUAUGCGUGUGACGGUAUCUAACCAGAAAGCCACGGCUAACUACGUGCCAGCAGCCGCGGUAAUACGUAGGUGGCAAGCGUUUUCCGGAUUUAUUGGGCGUAAAGCGAGCGCAGGCGGUCAAUUAAGUCUGAUGUGAAAGCCCCCGGCUCAACCGGGGAGGGUCAUUGGAAACUGGUUGACUUGAGUGCAGAAGAGGAGAGUGGAAUUCCAUGUGUAGCGGUGAAAUGCGUAGAUAUAUGGAGGAACACCAGUGGCGAAGGCGACUCUCUGGUCUGUAACUGACGCUGAGGCUCGAAAGCGUGGGUAGCAAACAGG
rnacentral:rRNA from 1 species